rnacentral:sRNA from 1 species
GCUUCGACCAAGGUUCGACUCGAGCGAAGCGAGAGAACGUUGCCGCAGGCAAUGGCCCGAAGGCGAGGCGCUUUAGCGCCGAGUAAUCCUUACCCCACCA